CGAUCGAUCGAGAUUAAGUCUUUCAAAUUUGGAGAAAAUUAAUUUGGUCGUUGGCCUUCCCAACCUUAAAAAUACUCUCUCCUCUUUUUCUUUCUCUUUUUCUUUUUCUUUUCUUUCUUUUCUCUUUCUCUCUCUUCCUCUCUAACUCUCGGCCUCCCUCUCUUUCUCUCUUCCCGAUUCUCAUCCCUCUCAAACACUCUCACAAACUCUCAAACUCUUAUCUUCUCUCAAACCCUCCACCCAACCUCUCCCUCUCGGUUCGGUGAACAUCAAAAACCCACCUUCGUCUCUUUCAUUUCUGGCGAAGCCCAAGGCAUCCCAAGCGCCACCGUCCACCAUCAUUUCAGGCGAGCUUUUGGCUUACGGCCAAGCUCUUUCUUCUCUCCAAUCUCUCGAAUUCCUUUCAUUCUCGGAGUUCUCCCUAUUUCUCCGGCCGAUUUAGGCCAAGGAGAAGCCGAUUAGAUUCUGGCGAGUUUUCUGCAAAUUCCGGCGGGGCUCUGAUCAUCACUUCCGGCCAAUGUUGGCCGGAAAUUUUUGGAUUCAUCCCGAAUCUCUCUCUCUCCGUCUCCUCUUCUCAUUUUUGAGUCGGAUGCAACGUAGGUAAAAGACUCUUGCCUGAAAGAGAGUAGCCGCAUCCUCCAUCUCCAUAAGAGGAAUCUUCUUCAUCAUCUGAGGCUACUACAUUUGCAUCCACAUCUUCAGGGCCAUCUUAUAUGGAUGCUCAGGGCCCCAUUGUCAGGGCAGUGCCUACUCCCUAUUUCUCCGGCAAGAAAUUAGAGCCAGAAUUCAGAUUUAACAGAGAGCUAUUUAUCGGGUUAGAGCGAACAGAGUGGUCAUUUGCAGAGCUCACCCGUAGGGGCAUGUUAUCAUAACUCCAACAGACACUAUAGUUUAUCCCCUGUUGGUUGCUCUAUUUUUUCAGCACCUCCAGAUGGAUAAGGAUGACCGCAAACUGAUGCACACGACCAUAAAUGGUCAGGACAUUGAUAUUUCUAUUCCUGCCAUUGCUGCCGCUUGCAGAUGUCCCCAUCUCUCACCAGUGGUCGCUAACUCUGAGGAUCCACUUUACCCGAUCAUUCCAGCUUACCCUGCUGAGAUGACUAUGAUUGCUACACUUUUUCCAUAGGCUGCCUAUUUAGGCAAUAUAUAUGCAGUCCGGGUUGAUAUUGAUCCCCACUAUUGGUUCUUGGAUUCUGUGCUGCAUCUUAAUGCCUUUCCUUCAGGCCACAGUACACAGAGGUGGGAGGGGAUUCUAAAGGCUCUUUAUAGUUUGAGCCAGGGCUGGUAGAUAUCUAUUCCUGCUCUUAUCUGGGAGAUUAUUCAUAAGUAUUGGGACAAUCUUAUCUUCAAGCACAAUUCUAGAGUUAAUACUUGGCCUUUACCAUUCGGCCAUCUUAUCACACAGAUAUUGAUCGACCAGGGCUAUUCCUUUGACCCAGCUGAGAUUACAGAGCCUACAGAGUAGAGAGAGAAAAGGGUGUAUGAUAAAAAACUGUGGACCAAUACUUACAAUGCUUGCUUAAAUAAUAGAAUAAUAGAAAGCAAAAGAGGCAGCGAGCUCAACAGAGAGCAGAGGAAAAGGCAGACGAGGGAUCUCAGGGAUCACCUUUUUCAUUUAGACCUAGACAGAGGCAGCAUACUACUAUUUCCACAUCCACGUUGCAGCAGGGUCCACCUCUUCCUCCCCAUCCAUCUCAGCAGGUCGGCCCCUCAUAUGUCCCACCUAUGGAGCAGAUGCCCCAGGCCGACACUCGCUCCCAUCAUGCCAAUUCAAAUUCCAGCCACAGAGCUAACCUGACUUAGCUUCAUUUAGAUUUUACUUCUUUCAAAGCUGACAUGACGGGGUGGCAUGAUGAUUUUGCGAGGCAGCAUGAUAACUUAGCCAGGUGAUCUGACGAUCUGGCGAGGGCUAUAACAGAUGCGAGGAGAGACAUUUCAGAUUUGAGGACAGACAUUCAGAUGUCUCUCACUCGACAGAGCCGAGAGAUGUCAGAUAUGCUACAGAUCAUUAUCGAUAUGCUUGCGUCGGAUGCUUCACCAUGAUUCUACCAUUCUCUCUUUCUGUUACUUAUUCCAUGAUCCGAUACAUUUUUGCUACACUGAUAUUUUUGGGAUAUUUGCAUUGUUUUAUUAUCUUUACAUUAGUUUUGGAUAUUAUUUUGCACUGCAUUGAUACAUAUAGUUUUGGAUA